UUUGCUUAUGAAUGAAAUUAAUGUUUAAUGUGUAUAUAUAACUUAAAGUUUAUGGUUUGGGGUUAUAUAACUUGAAGUUUGUGGUUUGGGGUUUAAGGGUUUCGAUUUUUAGGGUAUAAACAUACAUCGACCCUACCUAGUCGUAAAUUUAAAACGCGGGUCGUUCCUAAGGCGUCUUACUAUAAAUGAGCUUCAAGUUUACGACGACUGUUAAUCAGGAGACCUAAUUCGUCGUAAGAUAAAAACGUGGGUCGUCCCUACAUCGUCGUAAAC
rnacentral:lncRNA from 1 species